CGAAAUGGAUCCUUUCAAAUAAUUGACCCAUCAUAUCAUCCAAAGAAACGGAAAAUACCAAAAAGUUCAAAUUCACAGCUAAUAACAUUGAUUCAAUUGGCAUUGACAUAAUAGGAAUAUUUCGUCUAUUAAGGAGGAUUCCNUAAGGAGGAUUCCCCAAAUACCUAAAAUAAAGAUGAUCAUAGAAAAUGUGAAAUAUUUGAU
rnacentral:misc_RNA from 1 species